rnacentral:hammerhead_ribozyme from 1 species
ACCAGCUGACGAGUCCCAAAUAGGACGAAAUGACACGUGGCCUGGAU